rnacentral:rRNA from 1 species
UACGAAGGGGGCUAGCGUUGUUCGGAAUUACUGGGCGUAAAGCGCACGUAGGCGGCUUUGUAAGUUAGAGGUGAAAGCCCGGGGCUCAACUCCGGAAUUGCCUUUAAGACUGCAUCGCUAGAAUUGUGGAGAGGUAAGUGGAAUUCCGAGUGUAGAGGUGAAAUUCGUAGAUAUUCGGAAGAACACCAGUGGCGAAGGCGACUUACUGGACACAUAUUGACGCUGAGGUGCGAAAAGCGUGGGGAGCAAACAGG